GUUGCUAUGGGUGCCUGGCAGGCAGGUGAGAGAAGCCCUCCUGAGGGGCACUGCCAGCAGCUGGCUGCUCCUACCUGCCAGGCACGCAAGGUUUUCCUCCCACCCUUUGCACGGAGAGCCAAGGAGGAUGGAUGGACACAGACAGGUGAGGCAAAACAGCCUUCAACGUGGUCACUUUGAAUUAUGUUCCGUGUUGGUGUGGCACCUCCAGCCAGCUUCCCUGAUUUCUGGUGCUCAACAGCCUUCUGUCUGCGAAAGCAGAGUGAGAAAGCGCUCCUUCCUUCAGAUGUGAAGAAACAGUUGUGCUCAGUAAUGCACAAAUGUGAAAUGGAAGUAAAUGAGGAAUUAUCCAAAUGGGCAGGACCUACCACCUAUGCUGAAAGGAAACCCUACCAUUAAAUCCUGGAGAUUAAUGCACUAAAAUCCAAUGUAAUGUGACCUAGCAAACAGGACUGAAGCACACAGUGAAGGCGGUUUUCCUUUCCUCGGAGGAUGCAAAGCAACCAUUCCACUGGCGAUGUUUGCUCUGGAGAUAUUCCACCAGCGGAGGAACAGUCAGCACUAACGCACACACAGCAGCCUCCUGUCAGAUACAUCCCUUCAUCCCCAGCGUGGUUAGAGGCUAAUUGAGAGAAAUACAUUCCUACACAAUGGCUAACGAGAACAGA